GACGAACGCUGGCGGCGUGCUUAACACAUGCAAGUCGAGCGGUAAGGCCCUUUCGGGGGUACGACGAGCGGCGAACGGGUGAGUAACACGUGGGUGACCUGCCCUCAGCUCUGGGAUAAGCCUGGGAAACCGGGUCUAAUACUGGAUAUGACUCCAUGACGCAUGUUGUGGGGUGGAAAGCCUUGUGCGGCUGAGGAUGGGCCCGCGGCCUAUCAGCUUGUCGGUGGGGUGANGGCCUACCAAGGCGACGACGGGUAGCCGGCCUGAGAGGGCGACCGGCCACACUGGGACUGAGACACGGCCCAGACUCCUACGGGAGGCAGCAGUGGGGAAUCUUGCGCAAUGGGCGAAAGCCUGACGCAGCGACGCCGCGUGAGGGAUGACGGCCU
rnacentral:rRNA from 1 species